rnacentral:rRNA from 1 species
GGAAUCCCACUGAAACUAAGCUGUGACACGCUUGUUACCCAUGAAGCCCAUAAACGAAAGUUAUUCCAUUUCCAUCAACUUGAAUUCACGACAACUGAGAAACAAACUAGGAUUAGAUACCCUACUAUGCUCAGUCGUAAACUUUAAAUUACUCCUUCAUCGCCCGGGAACUACGAGCCAAGCUUAAAACCCAAAGGACUUGACGGUACCCCAUAUCCCCCUAGAGGAGCCUGUCCUAUAAUCGAUAACCCCCGUUUAACCUCACCAUUUUUUGCCAAUCAGCCUGUAUACCUCCGUCGUCAGCUUACCACGUGAGCGCUAGUGAGCUUAAUGUUUUUUCAACUAAACGUCAGGUCAAGGUGCAACACAUGAAAUGGGAAGAGAUGGGCUACACUUUCUACCAUAGAAUCAACGGAAGACUAAAUGAAAUCUAGUCAGAAGGCGGAUUUAGCACUGGGGUGNGUACACACCGCCC